rnacentral:tRNA from 1 species
GGACGGGUGGCCGAGUGGUUUAAGGCGCACGCCUGGAAAGUGUGUGUACGUUAAUAGCGUACCGUGGGUUCGAAUCCCACCUCGUCCG